GAUGAAGAACGUAGCAAAAUGCGAUAAGUAAUGUGAAUUGCAGAAUUCAGUGAACCAUCGAAUCUUUGAACGCACAUUGCGCCCGGCAGUAAUCUGCCGGGCAUGCCUGUCCGAGCGUCAUUUCUCCCCUCGAGCGCAGCUUUCCCCCCCGGGGGAGGGCCGCGCCCGGUGUUGGGGCGCUACGGAGGAGCCCAGCGCUCCCCCGUAGGCCCCGAAAUGUAGUGGCGGUCCCGCCGCGGCGCCCCCUGCGUAGUAGUUUUACAACUCGCAUCGGGUCCCGGCGGAGGCCAGCCGUCAAACCCCCCAACUUCAAUAGUUUGACCUCGGAUCAGGUAGGGUUACCCGCUGAACUUAAGCAUAUCAAUAAGCGGAGGA
rnacentral:misc_RNA from 1 species